rnacentral:misc_RNA from 1 species
GAUGAAGAACGCAGCGAAAUGCGAUAAGUAAUGUGAAUUGCAGAAUUCAGUGAAUCAUCGAAUCUUUGAACGCACAUUGCGCCCGCCAGUAUUCUGGCGGGUAUGCCUGUUCGAGCGUCAUUUCAACCAUCAAGCCCCAGGCUUGUGUUGGGGACCUGCGGCUGCCGCAGGCCCUGAAAACCAGUGGCGGGCUCGCUGUCACACCGGGCGUAGUAGAUUUUAUCUCGCUCAGGGCGUGCUGCGGGUUCCGGCCGUUAAAAAGCCUUUUUUACCCAAGGUUGACCUCGGAUCAGGUAGGAAGACCCGCUGAACUUAAGCAUAUCAAUAAGCGGAGGA